rnacentral:rRNA from 1 species
GUGCCAGCCGCCGCGGUAAUACGUAGGUGGCGAACGUUAUCCGGAGUGACUGGGUGUAAAGGGUCCGUAGGCGGGCUGUCAAGUCUGACGUGAAAGCGCCCGGCUCAACUGGGCGAGUGCGUUGGAAACUGACGGUCUUGAAUCACGCAGAGGUCGGCGGAAUUCCCGGUGUAGUGGUGGAAUGCGUAGAGAUCGGGAGGAACCUCGAAAGCGAAGGCAGCCGACUGGGGGAUGAUUGACGCUGAGGGACGAAAGCGUGGGGAGCGAACAGGAUUAGAAACCCGCGUAGUCC